rnacentral:lncRNA from 1 species
UGUCCAAACAGAACUUGGAACCCUUGCUAAUGGGCAUCACAAUCUAGUAACAGCCAUUUCCCAAGCUCACUUGGCCAGAGACGGUCAACAGCGAACAUGAGCUGUUUCUCCACUUCGAGAGGCCGCAGCCUCAGGACCCCAGGCAGAGAAAGUGUCUGUGAAAGACUAAGAAGAUGGCUGACUCCAUCCAGACACUGCAGACCACACUGCAGCAGCCACAUGACUGUCACAGACACCCCAGGGAAGGUCUCCCUGGGAGUGACCACAGUGACCUACCAAAAUCAAGGGGCUUUGCUGAUGUUCAAGAGCAUCCAUUCUUUCAAAAUGUUGACUGGGAUAUGAUGGAGCGAAAGCAGGUGAUACCUCCUUUUAAACCAAAUAUCUCUGAUGGAUUCGGUUUGGACAACUUUGAUCCUCAAUUUACUAAUGAACCUUUCCAGCUUACAAUGAUAAUGACAUCGUGAGGAAAGUUGAAGGAUAUGAAUUUGCAGGUUUUGAGUAUAUCCAUUGACUUAUAAUGUAUGAAGAAGAAUGGGUCUGAUCCUGAUUUUUCAACUAUGCAUUCUGCUUUUGCCAUUUAAUGCAUGGAAAAACUUAUUACCAUCCUGGAUAGAAUUAACCAUUUCAUAAUGUCUGGAAACUUAUUUUCAUUUCAUUUAUAUAGUAAUAUUUAGAUAUAAUACUGGCUUAUAAUCUAUAAUACAGAAUAUUGAAUUUUUUGUUGAGUUGCUUUUC